UGGUCCAGUGGUUAGGACUCUGCAUUUCCACUGCUGAGGGCCCAGGUUUGAUCCCUGG
rnacentral:tRNA from 1 species